rnacentral:rRNA from 1 species
GGAAUUUUGCGCAAUGGGCGAAAGCCUGACGCAGUAACGCCGCGUGGAGGAUGAAGGCCUUCGGGUCGUAAACUCCUGUCAGGGGGGAAGACGGUAAAGGGGUGAAUAAUCUCUUAUGCCAGACGGUACCUCCAAAGGAAGCCCCGGCUAAUUCCGUGCCAGCAGCCGCGGUAAUACGGAAGGGGCAAGCGUUGUUCGGAAUCAUUGGGCGUAAAGGGCGCGUAGGCGGUUUCGUAUGUCCGCUGUGAAAGCACACGGCUUAACCGUGGAGAGUCGGUGGAAACUGCGAAACUUGAGACUGGGAGGGGCUGGUGGAAUUCCCUGUGUAGCGGUGAAAUGCGUAGAUAUGGGGGAGAACACUCGUGGCGAAGGCGGCCAGCUGGACCAGAUCUGACGCUGAGGCGCGACAGCGUGGGGAGCA